AGAUCAUCACCAGAAAUCUCCUAGAACUGAGUUGUGAAGAUGAGACGGUUCUUGGGGCCACAGAGAAAUGAAAAAACUCUGAGUAGAAAAAAGGACCAAGCUGGAAUGAGUUCCUUCUGAUGGUAUUAGGACAAGAUCGACCGAGGAAGUGGCAGUUGAACUGAGCACUGGAGAAGGCACUAUGCUUCCAGAGGAACAGAGUAUGCUUGCUGCUUGCCCUUUCCCUCUUUCCCUCCUCCCAGUGGCUGGAAUACAAACAUGAUGGAAAACUUCCAGUAGAAAUUGGUUUAUUCACUUUUCCAAGAUGGAGUUAUGUGGAGCAGGGAAAGACAUCGAAGAAUGAGGAACAUAAAGGAAUCCUGGGGAACUGGGUCUCAGUUACUACACAGGAAUGACCACCAGGAGCAUGCUUGGUAAGUUUUACAGUGAAUGGAUAGGGAGCAAUGUGAGCAAAUGUGCUUACUUAGAGACUAAGGUAUGUCUUGUUCAAUAUCAGUAUUUCUCAACUGAAGCUGUACAUUGGAAACACU